rnacentral:tRNA from 1 species
GGGUUGUUAGCUCAGAAGGUAGAGCAGUUGACUUUUAAUCAAUUGGUCGCAGGUUCGAGUCCUGCACGACCCA